GACGAACGCUGGCGGCGUGCUUAACACAUGCAAGUCGAACGGAAAGGCCCUGCUUUUGUGGGGUGCUCGAGUGGCGAACGGGUGAGUAACACGUGAGUAACCUGCCCUUGACUUUGGGAUAACUUCAGGAAACUGGGGCUAAUACCGGAUAGGAGCUCCUGCUGCAUGGUGGGGGUUGGAAAGUUUCGGCGGUUGGGGAUGGACUCGCGGCUUAUCAGCUUGUUGGUGGGGUAGUGGCUUACCAAGGCUUUGACGGGUAGCCGGCCUGAGAGGGUGACCGGCCACAAGGGGACUGAGGUACGGCCCAGACUCCUACGGGAGGCAGCAGUGGGGAAUAUUGCACAAUGGGCGGAAGCCUGAUGCAGCAACGCCGCGUGCGGGAUGACGGCCUUCGGGUUGUAAACCGCUUUCGCCUGUGACGAAGCGUGAGUGACGGUAAUGGGUAAAGAAGCACCGGCUAACUACGUG
rnacentral:rRNA from 1 species